CACAAUGGGCGAAAGCCUGAUGCAGCAACGACGCGUGAGUGAUGAAGGCCUUCGGGUUGUAAAGCUCUGUCUUCUGGGACGAUAAUGACGGUACCAGAGGAGGAAGCCACGGCUAACUACGUGCCAGCAGCCGCGGUAAUACGUAGGUGGCAAGCGUUGUCCGGAUUUACUGGGCGUAAAGGAUGCGUAGGCGGAUACUUAAGUCAGAUGUGAAAAUCCCGGGCUUAACUUGGGAACUGCAUUUGAAACUGGGUAUCUAGAGUGCGGGAGAGGAAAGUGGAAUUCC
rnacentral:rRNA from 1 species